GACGAACGCUGGCGGCGUGCUUAACACAUGCAAGUCGAACGGAAAGGCCCUGCUUUUGUGGGGUGCUCGAGUGGCGAACGGGUGAGUAACACGUGAGUAACCUGCCCUUGACUUUGGGAUAACUUCAGGAAACUGGGGCUAAUACCGGAUAGGAGCUCCUGCUGCAUGGUGGGGGUUGGAAAGUUUCGGCGGUUGGGGAUGGACUCGCGGCUUAUCAGCUUGUUGGUGGGGUAGUGGCUUACCAAGGCUUUGACGGGUAGCCGGCCUGACAGGGUGACCGGCCACAUUGGGACUGAGAUACGGCCCAGACUCCUACGGGAGGCAGCAGUGGGGAAUAUUGCACAAUGGGCGGAAGCCUGAUGCAGCAACGCCGCGUGCGGGAUGACGGCCUUCGGGUUGUAAACCGCUUUCGCCUGUGACGAAGCGUGAGUGACGGUAAUGGGUAAAGAAGCACCGGCUAACUACGUG
rnacentral:rRNA from 1 species